ACAUGUGGUUGACAUGUGGGCCCUGGGUUCAAGUCCUUGCCUAACAUAUAAAUGUCUCUAGAAGAAAUGCCAAAGAUGUCAAAUGAUUUCAAAUUGAACUCCAAAUGAAAGUUUGAAGAUCACAGACAAUUCUGUGAAAACAUUUAAUGUAGGAAGACCACACAUAAGGAAGUCCCCAAAUCUGUCUUCAGAAAAGUGACAGCGCAUAUACAGGGUACCGAGCAGCCUCAGCACAGGGCAGGGGCUUCUGUUCUGAUGCGCUGAUUCUCCAUGGAGCAGCAUAUAAACAGCAGUGUGGGGGCUGAGGAGACAGCACCAACUCAAAUCCAACCCCAAGUACAAACCCAGUCCAAGCCCAACUGUGAUCCUGAACUCAAGCCCAAACUCAAGCUCAAGUACAUGGGAAAGUUACAGUCUGAAGCAGCCCCAAGCUCCGCAGUGCCCCAGGGUCAGCAGCUUGUUUCAUUCCUUCAUGAUCUCUGGAUUAAAGUUAUUUUUAAAAACCUUC